rnacentral:rRNA from 1 species
UACGUAGGGUGCAAGCGUUGUUCGGAAUCAUUGGGCGUAAAGCGCGCGUAGGCGGCCUCAUAAGUCCGUUGUGAAAGUCAAAGGCUCAACCUUUGAAAGCCGAUGGAUACUGUGAGGCUAGAGUCCGGAAGAGGCGAGUGGAAUUCCUGGUGUAGCGGUGAAAUGCGCAGAUAUCAGGAGGAACACCAAUUGCGAAGGCAGCUCGCUGGGACGUUACUGACGCUGAGACGCGAAAGCGUGGGGAGCAAACAGG